AGUGAACGCUGGCGGCAGGCCUAACACAUGCAAGUCGAACGGCAGCACAGUAAGAGCUUGCUCUUACGGGUGGCGAGUGGCGGCCGGGUGAGGAAUACAUCGGAAUCUACUUUUUCGUGGGGGAUAACGUAGGGAAACUUACGCUAAUACCGCAUACGACCUACGGGUGAAAUCAUGGGUUCUUCGGACCUUGCGCGAUUGAAUGAGCCGAUGUCGGAUUAGCUAGUUGGCGGGGUAAAGGCCCACCAAGCCGACGAUCCGUAGCUGGUCUGAGAGGAUGAUCGGCCACACUGGAACUGAGACACGGUCCAGACUCCUACGGGAGGCAGCAGUGGGGAAUAUUGGACAAUGGGCGCAAGCCUGAUCCAGCCAUACCGCGUGGGUGAAGAAGGCCUUCGGGUUGUAAAGCCCUUUUGUUGGGAAAGAAAAGCAGCAGGUUAAUACCCCGCUGUUCUGACGGUACCCAAAGAAUAAGCACCGGCUAACUUCGUG
rnacentral:rRNA from 1 species